GGGGGGCUAAUACAUGCAUGUCGAACGAACUUCCGUUAAUUGAUUAUGACGUACUUGUACUGAUUGAAAGUUAACACGAAGUGAGUGGCGAACGGGUGAGUAACACGUGGGUAACCUGCCCAGAAGUAGGGGAUAACACCUGGAAACAGAUGCUAAUACCGUAUAACAGAGAAAACCGCAUGGUUUUCUUUUAAAAGAUGGCUCUGCUAUCACUUCUGGAUGGACCCGCGGCGUAUUAGCUAGUUGGUGAGGUAAAGGCUCACCAAGGCAGUGAUACGUAGCCGACCUGAGAGGGUAAUCGGCCACAUUGGGACUGAGACACGGCCCAGACUCCUACGGGAGGCAGCAGUAGGGAAUCUUCCACAAUGGACGCAAGUCUGAUGGAGCAACGCCGCGUGAGUGAAGAAGGGUUUCGGCUCGUAAAGCUCUGUUGUUAAAGAAGAACGUGGGUAAGAGUAACUGUUUACCCAGUGACGGUAUUUAACCAGAAAGCCACGGCUAACUACGUGCCAGCCCCCGCGGUAAUACAAAACACUCGUCCUGUUCUUUUGGUGAUAGUUUGCUCCGGUUUA
rnacentral:rRNA from 1 species